GAUGAACGCUGGCGGCGUGCUUAACACAUGCAAGUCGAACGAAGCAAUUUUCUUGCUUGCAAGAAAAUUAACUUAGUGGCGGACGGGUGAGUAACGCGUGGGUAACCUGCCUCAUACAGGGGGAUAACAGUUGGAAACGACUGCUAAGACCGCAUAACCCGCUAGUGUCGCAUGACACGGACGGAAAAUAUUUAUAGGUAUGAGAUGGGGCCCGCGUCUGAUUAGCUAGUUGGUAAGGUAACGGCUUACCAAGGCGACGAUCAGUAGCCGACUUGAGAGAGUGAUCGGCCACAUUGGGACUGAGACACGGCCCAAACUCCUACGGGAGGCUG
rnacentral:rRNA from 1 species